UUCCCCGUUAGUAGGGGAUAGCCCGGCGAAAGUCGGAUUAAUACCCUAUGUUAUCCGAAGAGGACAUCUGAAUUGGAUCAAAGGUUAACCGCUAAGGGAUGGGGAUGCGUCUGAUUAGGUAGUAGGCGGGGUAACGGCCCACCUAGCCGACGAUCAGUAGGGGUCUGAGAGGAAGGUCCCCCACAUUGGAACUGAGACACGGUCCAAACUCCUACGGGAGGCAGCAGUGAGGAAUAUUGGUCAAUGGGCGAGAGCCUGAACCAGCCAAGUAGCGUGCAAGGAUGAAGGCCCUAUGGGUUGUAAACUGCUUUUAUGCGGGGAUAAAAUUCGUCACGUGUGGCGUUUUGCAGGUACCGCAUGAAUAAGGACCGGCUAAUUCCGUGCCAGCCGCUGC
rnacentral:rRNA from 1 species